rnacentral:rRNA from 1 species
GACGAACGCUGGCGGCGUGCCUAAUACAUGCAAGUCGAACGAACCGCGACUAGGUGCUUGCACUUGGUCAAGGUGAGUGGCGAACGGGUGAGUAACACGUGGGUAACCUACCUCAUAGUUGGGGAUAACAGACGGAAACGACUGCUAAUACCGCAUAGGACAUAGGAUCACAUGAUCCAGUGAGGAAAGGUGGCGCAAGCUAUCGCUAAGAGAUGGACCCGCGGUGCAUUAGCUAGUUGGUAGGGUAAAGGCCUACCAAGGCGAUGAUGCAUAGCCGACCUGAGAGGGUGACCGGCCACAUUGGAACUGAGACACGGACCAAACUCCUACGGGAGGCAGCAGUAGGGAAUCUUCCGCAAUGGACGCAAGUCUGACGGAGCAACGCCGCGUGAGUGAAGAAGGUCUUCGGAUCGUAAAGCUCUGUUGUUAGAGAAGAACAGCGCAUAGAGUAACUGUUAUGCGUGUGACGGUAUCUAACCAGAAAGCCACGGCUAACUACGUG